CCUACGUGAGGCAGCAGUGGGGAAUAUUGGGCAAUGGGCGCAAGCCUGACCCAGCAACGCCGCGUGAGGGAAGAAGGCUUUCGGGUUGUAAACUUCUUUUCUCAGGGACGAAGCAAGUGACGGUACCUGAGGAAUAAGCUACGGCUAACUACGUGCCAGCAGCCGCGGAACUACGUAGGCGGCAAGCGUUAUCCGGAUUGACUGGGUGUAAAGGGCGUGAAGGCGGGGCCGAAAGACAGAUGUGAAAACCACGGGCUCAACCUGUGGACUGCAUUUGAAACUGUGUUUCGUGAGUACUGGAGAGGCAGGCGGAAUUCCUAGUGUAGCGGUGAAAUGCGUAGAUAUUAGGAGGAACACCAGUGGCGAAGGCGGUCUGCUGGACAGCAACUGACGCUGAGGCGCGAAAGCGUGGGGAGCAAACAGGAUUAGAUACCCUUGUAGUC
rnacentral:rRNA from 1 species